UACGUAGGGUGCAAGCGUUGUUCGGAAUUACUGGGCGUAAAGCGCACGCAGGUGGCUGAGUCAGUCGAUUGUGAAAGCCCUGGGCUUAACCUGGGAAUUGCAGUCGAUACUACUUAGCUAGAGUAUGGGAGAGGACAGUGGAAUUCCCGGUGUAGCGGUGAAAUGCGUAGAUAUGGGGAGGAACAUCAGUGGCGAAGGCGGCUGUCUGGACCAAUACUGACGCUGAGGUGCGAAAGCGUGGGGAGCAAACAGG
rnacentral:rRNA from 1 species